CAGUAGCCACGGUAAUACGUAGGGUGCAAGCGUUAAUCGGAAUUACUGGGCGUAAAGCGUGCGCAGGCGGUUUGUUAAGACAGAUGUGAAAUCCCCGGGCUCAACCUGGGAACUGCAUUUGUGACUGGCAAGCUAGAGUAUGGCAGAGGGGGGUGGAAUUCCGCGUGUAGCAGUGAAAUGCGUAGAUAUGCGGAGGAGCACCGAUGGCGAAGGCAGCCCCCUGGGCCAAUACUGACGCUCAUGCACGAAAGCGUGGGGAGCAAACAGGAUUAGAUACCCGCGUAGUCCCUGUCUCUUAUAC
rnacentral:rRNA from 1 species